rnacentral:rRNA from 2 species
UUCGNGNGNCGAAGGGGACUCCANGUGCGAGGGCAUAUAGUCCUCGCUUUUCUCGACCGUAAGGAGGUCNANGAAUAAGUGCUGGGCAAGACCGGUGCCAGCCGCCGCGGUAAUACCGGCAGCACGAGUGAUGACCGCUNUUAUUGGGCCUAAAGCGUCCGUAGCUGGCCNGGCAAGUCNAUCGGGAAAUCCGCACGCUUAACGUGCGGGCGUCCGGUGGAAACUGUUNGGCUUGGGACCGGAAGAUCCANAGGGUACGUCUGGGGUAGGAGUGAAAUCCUGUAAUCCUGGACGGACCACCGGUGGCGAAAGCGCUCUGGAAAGACGGAUCCGACGGUGAGGGACGAAAGCUAGGGUCACGAACCGGAUUAGAUACCCGGGUAGUCCUAGCNGUAAACGAUGUCUGCUAGGUGUGGCACAGGCUACGAGCCUGUGCUGUGCCGUAGGGAAGCCGUGAAGCANACCGCCUGGGAAGUACGUCUGCAAGGAUGAAACUUAAAGGAAUUGGCGGGGGNAGCACAA